AUUGUUUCGAACGCCCGCUUUCUUCUUUGUGAGAAGGUGGACGGAUCGGUAUUGAGGAUCUUGCCAUUUACCGUGGCUUCCUCGAAAAGCAUUAGCGCAUCCAUUCAAUAGGCAAGACGGACGAAAGCUUGCAUUUCGCCCUGUUCUUCCCUGCCGGGUUUUGAUAAUAUCAGGACUUCGGAGAGGUUGAGAUGGGUAAGAGCUGGACGCAACGGCUUGCUGUUUGGCGCGCUUCUGAAACCCGCCCAUGUCGAAAGCCUCCGGGCUUUCGGAAGGGAUUUAUAAUAAUU
rnacentral:misc_RNA from 1 species